rnacentral:rRNA from 1 species
UACGGAGGGGGGCAAGCGUUUGUUCGGAAUUACUGGGCGUAAAGGGCGCGCAGGCGGCUGCUCAAGUCAGGCGUGAAAGGCCUGGGCUCAACCCGGGAAUUGCGCUUGAGACUGGGCUGGCUUGAGUGCGGGAGAGGAUGGUGGAAUUCCCAGUGUAGAGGUGAAAUUCGUAGAUAUCGGGAGGAACACCAGUGGCGAAGGCGGCUCUCUGGACCAGUACUGACGCUGAGACGCGAAAGCGUGGGUAGCAAACAGG